UACGGGGGGUGCGAGCGUUGUCCGGAAUCACUGGGCGUAAAGGGCGCGUAGGUGGUUUGAUAAGGGUGUGGUGAAAGUCCGGAGCUCAACUCCGGAUCUGCCGUGCCGACUGUCAAACUCGAGGGCUGUAGAGGCAGACGGAAUUCCGGGUGUAGCGGUGGAAUGCGUAGAGAUGCGGAGGAACACCGAUGGCGAAGGCAGCCCCCUGGGCCGACAUUGACGCUGAGAAGCGAAAGCAUGGGGAGCGAACAGG
rnacentral:rRNA from 1 species